AUAAUAUAUUAAUAUAUUUUAAUAAAAAAAGGAAAAAGUCUCGAAAAAAAAAAAUAAGACCGUUGAUAAAGCUGGCAUGUUGCAUGAACAUUCUGGAACCAGACCUUUAUUACUUUAUUACUACCAAAAAAAAAAAAUGAACGGUGAGAUGCUGAGAUUAAAAAUGGACGGUUAGAUUAGGAGAAGAAGUAAAACCUAAAACUAAACCUAGAGAAAACUCACUAGCACACACGCCUCAUUUGUCAUUUCCUCAUCUCUUUGAUAUUCUCAAACAUCUCUCUCUCUCCUAACCUCCUAACCCUAGCUAUCUCCCUCUUCAUCUGAAUCUCUCAAGCUUUCUCAAAUUCUCAGUUCUCACGCCUAUGAAACUCUCAUUUCCUCAUUUGAUAUUUUCAUUUAGUCUUAAAAUUUCAGAUUUUUUUUUUGGAAGGUCUAAUUCUUUUGUUCAUUUAUUCCGAAUUGAUUAAUUUCUGUUUUUUUUGUAGAUCUGUCAUAUACUCAUAUUCUACUCACGGCAAUAUAAGAUCUUUUUUCUGGAUAUUCUCAAACUUCGAAUUUUUCUGAUCUUUCAUAUUCUCUACUCACGGACGAUAUAAGGUAUUUGUAUUUUUCAUUCUCAUUCUAAGUUCCUAUUAUUUUUUCUAAGUUCUGUUUUUUCAUUUAUUAUUUUGUAA